rnacentral:rRNA from 1 species
AGGACGAACGCUGGCGGCGUGCCUAACACAUGCAAGUCGAGCGGGGUCCAUCCGGUAGCAAUACCGGGGAAGACCUAGCGGCGAACGGGUGAGUAACACGUGAGAAACCUGCCCCGAAGUCUGGGAUAACCCGAGGAAACUCGAGCUAAUACCGGAUGUCUUCUUCUGAUCGCAUGGUCGGAUGAAGAAAGAUUUAUCGCUUCGGGAGGGUCUCGCGGCCUAUCAGCUAGUUGGCGGGGUAACGGCCCACCAAGGCGUCGACGGGUAGCUGGUCUGAGAGGACGAUCAGCCACACUGGGGACUGAGACACGGCCCAGACUCCUACGGGAGGCAGCAGUGGGGAAUAUUGCGCAAUGGGCGAAAGCCUGACGCAGCAACGCCGCGUGCGGGAUGAAGGCCUUCGGGUUGUAAACCGCUUUCAGUGGGGACGAAUUCAGACGGUACCCACAGAAGAAGCCCCGGCCAACUACGUG